AGCCAAUAUGGGUUGGGUUUUCCACUUGCAGCUCAAUCAGUCCCAAGUGACAACUCUGUUUUCCAUCCUUAACUUAAGGUGCUGAAGCCAAAAUUCUUUUGCUGAAAAAUACUGAUGAAACAACCUGAACUCUAAAAAGUUUUGGCCCCUCCUAUCACUCUGUUUGUCUCACUCUUUCAAAUGCAGGUCUCUCUUCCUCGGAUUGCUUCAUAAUCAACAUAAGAUUUCAAUUUACAGUGGCAAGUCAUGUCUUCAGAUUGUUACUGAUAGCACCAAUUCAGAAAGAAUGAGUACUGACUCCAUUUACACACAGUUCACAUGGAUUCUCUCCAUCUAAGAAGCAUAGAAUCCCACAAAACCUAUUACCCCAUUGAGGAAAAUUGUGUACUAUGUGCUUUGAAUCAGUUCUGCUUUGAAUCAGUACUAUGUGCAAAGACUCAGAAUCUCUUUGAAUGAGAGUUGAUAUGUCUCAUUCCCUAUACAGAAUGUGUUUUAUAGAGAGAAUAUGUGGACAGACACGAUAGGGGAAAAUCUUCAGAAUGCUAUUACAUUGUUUUCCAAGGACUGAUUUUUUUAAUAUUUCAAAAAAAGUGAUUUUUUUUCUUUUUCAUGGAUCCCAGUAUUCAAAUAUUAAUAUUAAAAUGCAAAUGGAAAUUCAUAAGAACUCAGUAUAAAAAUGAAACUAGUUUCCUUUCAUUAUUUUAGAAAAACAGAUUUUAAGUGCUGUAGAACCACAUUCCAAAACAAAUAUGUAUUAAUUAAUGCACAUAUGAAUUUUCAAACAAUACCUCUUGAGAGUACAUUUUGUACCAAGCAUUACUUCCUAGAAACUCUCUAUGGCCUUAAAUACUGCUUUGAAUCUGCUUCCUUUUUGAAUAUAGACACUCUAAAGAUAAUUAUUUUCUCCAUUAUCAACUGUAAUAGUACAGACAUCACCUCAAACUAAAGAAAUUAUUUCUCCAACAUCACUGGGAAAAUGUAGUCAUCAACUACACAUUUUUAUUUUUCUAUUUAUUUUGACCCCAACAAAACAAGAAGUACUACUCAUAUGCUCAUAUGGUUACUUAGAUAAAUGUUUUAAUUUUCAAUUAAUAAAAAUUUAUUUGAAGAAGUACUAGAGCUAUGAAAAUGGUUACCAUGAGUUAAAACAAAAGUUCUCAGCACAAAUCACUCUAAAGAACCAUAAAAUCAAUUUUUUCCAUCAGAAAAAAGAGAAAAAAAAAACUAAUUUUCUCUUGAAUUCCCUGAAGAUUCACUGAACAUGAAAAGAAGGCCACAAAGCCAUUGUUAGACACAGAGAUCCCUUUCAAUGUACCUUACCAAACUUUUGGGUUUGUAAUUUUAUAUUCUUUCUUCAAAAACUCCCCAAAAUUGUAUACCUUUGAAACUUUGAAGAUGCUGGAUUGGUCAUGCCUAUUAGAUAAGCAAUGAAAUAAUUAUUAUUUUCAGUUUUCCUAAUCAUGCUCUAAAAGCCAUACAUGAGAUGUUUCUCUUAAAAUAUUAUUACAGCUAGUUUAACAAUAAUUAUUCUAGCUAACUAUUUAGCAACUAGUUAUUCUAUAUCUCUAUGAAAGUUUUGUUAAUAAUUUUUUUUAAUCUCCAUUCUUAUGGGAAGAAAAGUAUUACCUGAUAAUCCUUAGANNNNNNNNNNNNNNNNNNNNNNNNNNNNNNNNNNNNNNUAGAAAGAGAUUUGCAAGCUGACAAUCUACUCAAGACAAAUAUUACACUCUGAUAUACAAAAUACAAGGACAUAUAUUUUGCUAAUGCAGUUCUAGCAGUCCAUUAUUUGCCAAUGUAAGAAGUGCUGGGAAUGCAUUACUUCACUUACUCUUCACAGUAGGCUUUAUCAGCCCCAUUUACACGUGAGGAAAUUGAUACUACUAUGCUAAAAAAAAAAAAAAAAAACCUCAACUUUAAUGUAUAUUGCAACAUUCACCAAAUAGGAGAGGUACUUGGUUAUCUUGGAAUUCACAAGUCGAAAUUUCAAAUGAUUAGGAGAGCAUACGUUACUUAUCUUAUAUCAAACUCUAAAAAUCACAGUAAGAAAUAGCAGAAAGAAAAUGCAAAUAAAGUAUAUCAUAUAUUCCAUAUAUUCCAAGGAGACUUUUUCAAAUCCACAACAAAACAUUUUAUAGAAAAAUUUUGAGAUAAUUGUGACAUGCAUUCCCAGGCACUCCUUCCAAAAGGUAUCUUUUUUAUUAAAAGUAAAAAUACUGAAUUUGACUUUAUUCAUUUUGUAAUUAUGUCUUUCUUGCAAAUAAAUAGUAAUCAGAAAGCUAUCAACCCAUUAUAAUUGCACUGUCCCAUAAACUACACUCUGCACCUUACUAUACCUGUAACAGUAUGUCAAAUUCCUGUAGAGUAAUUUGAUACAUAAAUGAGAACAUUAUNNNNNNNNNNNNNNNNNNNNNNNNNNNNNNNNNNNNNNNNNNNNNNNNNNNNNNNNNNNNNNNNNNNNNNNNNNNNNNNNNNNNNNNNNNNNNNNNNNNGUAUGUCAAAUUCCUGUAGAGUAAUUUGAUACAUAAAUGAGAACAUUAUUAAAUAGAAUGAGGUGUGUAUGAAGUUCCAGAAUAAAGUAAUUGUGCAAUCCAGAUUUAAUUUACAGAAGAAAUGAAUAGUAAAUAUGAAUCACUAAACUAUAAUUAGAAAGUAAAAUGAAAUCUUGGAGAAAUGACAAAAUGUCACUCUGAACCAAACCAAGCCCAAAUGCAAUGCAGAAAGAAACAAAGACAAAUCCUCCCUUGGGCUUUAGGUGAAUGGCAUGAUCCCUCAUAAAAGAGGACAACCUUUUUAGGGAUG
rnacentral:lncRNA from 1 species